rnacentral:rRNA from 1 species
GACGAACGCUGGCGGCGUGCCUAAUACAUGCAAGUAGGACGCCGUCGCGAACGUGUGAGUAACGCGUAGGUAACUACCUAUUAGAGGGGGAUAACUAUUGGCAACGAUAGCUAAUACCGCAUACUAGUAGAUUGACCUGCGUUGUAUUCGGUCGUAGGUAGGGUAAUGCCCUACCUAGGCAACGAGAAAUAGCCGACCUGAUAUGGUGAUCGGCCAAACUUGGACUUGAGCAAGGGCCAGACUCCUACAGGAAGCAGCAGUAGGGAAACCUCGGCAAUGGGGGGAACGCUGAAGGAGCAACGACGCGUGAGUGAGGAAAGUGUUCGGAACGUAAAGCUCUGUGGUUAAGGAAGCGGUACUUAACCAGAAAGAAACGGGUAACUACGUGCCAGCAGCCGCGGUAAUUC